rnacentral:lncRNA from 1 species
CUUUCUUCGUGGGCUCAGGCAUGUUGAGCCGUUCUCCAGCUGGAAGUGUUCAGAGAGCUUUUCUGUGAGAUUCCUGCCUGUAGUGCUCCUCUAGAAAUUCCAGAAUCACCUCCAAAUCCGUCUGAUAAUCCUGCGGACUGUUCUGUCCUGCAGUGCUGCCUGCUGGAGCCUUGGGUCCGAGUCUGUUGUCCAUUAAAAGAAAACAUCCUCUCCAUGUCUUGGAACACAUCAUCAAACAUGUCUCCACCGAAAGAGCUCUGGAAGUGCCUCCUGUGCCUGCUGCGUGCUUCCUCAUGGGCCUUAAAGUGGCUCUGGAAAUGUCUUUGGUUGUGAGAGUGAGGACUGUGUCUGAAUGCAUCUUCAAAGUUGAAGUUAAAGUGUUGAUGGAAGUGCUCAGAGCCUCCUCCGGAGAACGGACGGCUUCUCGUCUGAUCAUAUUCCUUCCGCCGGUUGUCAUCUGAUAAUGUUUCGUAGGCUGGGAAUGACAGAUGCGAAGAUUUAAUAAGUGAUGAACACACAGGUGUGGUUUUGAACAGGUAUGUGAUGGUGACUCACCUUCAGCAAUCUCUCUGAACUUUGCUUCUGCGUCAGGGCUUUUGUUUUUGUCUGGGUGGAAGCGCAUGGCUAGUUUGUGAAAGGCUUUUUUGAUCUGCCGGUCAGAUGCAUCUUUGGGAACCCCCAGGAUCUCGUAGUAGUCUUUCUCAGCCAGGAUGAGCUCUGAGAUGAGCAGAAUGCUCACAGCCACUGUGAACACUGACUGUGCUGUAGCCAUGUCUGUUAACAGGAAACAACACUUCAUUUGCUGCGAAAAUUCACACCCAUACUUAUCAAUCCAUCUUGUUGAUGUAUAACAAAAAACAUUUUAGCUAAAAUAGUAAAUAGUCUUUGCUAUGAAGCAUAAGAAUGUGGCCUGUUUAAUCUUUCCUUUUCUCAGAGAAAAAAAACUUUAAUUAUAUAGUGUAACAAAAAAAAAGAAAAAAAAUCUUGUCAGGCUUAUUUUAAAGUCAUUUUUUUCCAAACCAUUUUACCUAUUUGUCAGCAAGAAACGGGAAAAUCAUUUCAAACGUAGGCUUUUCUAUAUUUUUAAAAGUACAGGUCAGAAUAAGUGUGUUUUUACUGUAUUAUUAAAACUUAUUAUUUCACCACUAUUUUCACAUUUUAUCUUCUUAAACUUAUUUGAAUGGUCAAAGUAGACACUUGAAUUUAAUAAGAUUCAUGUGUAUAUAAAAUUAAAACUGAAAUAGUGAAUCUUUCCUCCAUUAAUCUUGAUAUUUGCAUUAAUUAUGGCCAAGAAAAAGAAAGAUGAGGUCUGUAUCAAAGCUCUCUGAGACUUAAUGAUAGGCUAUGUUAUGUUUGUUGUAUUUCAACAGUCUAUUACUCAUUUACAUUAGAUGCUGAUUUAUGCGUCAGGUCAAUCCAUUGUCCAGAAAACAAAACCAUGUCAAAAUGAGACAGUUCCCUUAAAGGAUUUGGUUUUAUUAAAGCAAAUAUAUAAUUUCAUAUGUCAUUCUUUUCAUAUAUAACCGGACAUGUUCUUGACAAGUUGAAACUGAUUUAAGCUUUCAACGCUAUUCUCACAGAUGCUUAUAUUAGAACAGAAUUCAGAAUUAUUGUCUUACAUUAUAGCAACAACAAUACGUAUAUUAAGCUGUAAUUUAUGCUUAGCGGUAAAAGAAAAUGUCUGCUUUUAACUUACCCGAUGCUUUCAGUCCCAAAGUUGCAUCAAGCACAGAACAGCUGAUCGCUUUUCAGAGCGCAGUGACAGUGCUGAAGUUUACUGCACCACGACUCGCAACGUGAUUGGCUGAUUCCCGCGAUGAAUGACUAUAAGCGUUUUCAUUGGUCCACAUCGGGUGCACAUGGAACACUUCUCGGAGCGUCACUUCCUGUUUGUUUAGCAGGAUUAGUGAGGUGUCAUCCGCAUACCGCGAAAAUGCGCUGUCAAACUGCAAACUGAAAGUGGUUUUUGUUUGGUUGUUCUUUCAGACUUUGCUACCGUUUGUUAUUUUGUAACACUUUUAACGCAAACCAAAGUUCUUCUAUAAUGUAAUACGUGUUAUUACUGCACAAGAGUUUCAAAUAAUUUGAAGGGGGUUUUAUGUUUUUUG